rnacentral:rRNA from 1 species
AUACACCUACGGGGCGCAGCAGCGAGGAAUAUUGGUCAAUGGUCGGGAGACUGAACCAGCCAAGCCGCGUGAGGGAUGAAGGUACAGAGUAUCGUAAACCUCUUUUGUCAGGGAACAAAGGCGGGGACGCGUCCCCGGAUGUGUGUACCUGAAGAAAAAGCAUCGGCUAACUCCGUGCCAGCAGCCGCGGUAAUACGGAGGAUGCGAGCGUUAUCCGGAUUUAUUGGGUUUAAAGGGUGCGCAGGCGGUCUGUUAAG